CACGGAGUUAGCCGGCGCUUCCUUUGGAGGUACCGUCAGUCCAGCCGAUUAUUCACCAGCUGGAGUUUCUUUCCCCCUGACAGAGGUUUACAACCCGAAGGCCUUCAUCCCUCACGCGGUGUCGCUGCGUCAGGCUUUCGCCCAUUGCGCAAGAUUCCUUA
rnacentral:rRNA from 1 species